UCCUAUCGUGCGUAAGGGAUGGAAGCGGCAUCCUUUAUUUUGUUUCUUCCAGAAAAUAACGAUACAGCGCACAGCCCGACCCGCA
rnacentral:sRNA from 1 species